AUUGAACGCUGGCGGCAGGCCUAACACAUGCAGGUCGAGCGGAUGAAGGGAGCUUGCUCCUGGAUUCAGCGGCGGACGGGUGAGUAAUGCCUAGGAAUCUGCCUGGUAGUGGGGGAUAACGUCCGGAAACGGGCGCUAAUACCGCAUACGUCCUGUGGGAGAAAGUGGGGGAUCUUCGGACCUCACGCUAUCAGAUGAGCCUAGGUCGGUUUAGCUAGUUGGUGGGGUAAAGGCCUACUAAGGUGACUAACCGUAACUGGUCUGAGAGAAUGAUCAGUCACAAUGGAGGUAAGGAAAGGUGCGGACUCCUAGGGGAGGCAGCAGUGGGGAAUAUUGGAUAGGGGGGUGAUGCCGGAGCCAGCCAUGCCGCGUGUACGGAGAAGGUCUUAGGAUUGAAAAAAACAGUGAGUUCGAAGAAAGAACAGUAAGAUAAUACCUUGCUGGUUUGACGUUAACAUCAGAAUAAGCACCGGCUAACUUCGUG
rnacentral:rRNA from 1 species